GAGGGGUUGAAUGCGUGCGGAGGCGCGGUCUGUCGGUGUUAUCUCCCCACCGCCAGCGACAGCGGCGAGCUUCGAUCUACAAACAGAACAAGAAGACCCGGCAGUCAGAGUGCCAUGAGUGGGCGCAGCUGUCUCGUCUUGUCCCUGUUCUGUGGUAUCUGCCUGUCUGAAGUAACCCAGUCCCCCGACCAGAGCGGUGCUGAGUUGGCUGAUGCAAAGAUUCAAUGCAAGCAUGACAUUCCUGAUGGGAAUUACGAUUCCAUUUACUGGUAUUACCGGAAGGCCAGCACUGAACUGACUUACAUCACUCACAGCUACAGUGAGGAGAGAAAUUCAGGACGCUAUGGACUCUCUGUUGACCGUGCCAACAGCUCCAGCAUUUUAACCAUCAGGACUUUACAACCGGGAGAUGGUGCUGUAUAUUAUUGUGCCUUGCAGCCCACAAUGGUUCACCUCUUGUCACACCCUGAACAAUAACCUGCCACUCAAGGAGAGCUUGGUCCAAAGACCAUUGAAGACAAUGGAAAGACCCCUGUUGAAUUCAGUGGUGCAGCUCAGGUGAUUAAAGACAACCGUGGGCAAAAAUGUCCAUAGGAAGAGAAUUCUAGUGCCGAGCAAUAUCGGGGGUUAGAGCUGGAUUGAAUUCCUCAGGGAAGAUUGGCCGAAAGUUAGAAAAUAAAUAGACACGGUGAGUGAGGCAAUAUCCACAGAGCUACCGCAGAGCUCUGUGGAGAAAAAGUUCGGCCGAUAAAAGAUAUUAGAUCUCCCCCUUCUCUCUUCCUUACCCGGGGCCCACACAGCUACCACAACACUGCAAACGGAAUAGAAACGCCGAUAAUGACAAGACACUGACCAAAGGCAAAUGAGUCUUGUAAAGACAAGACAUGCAGGUUAUGAAUGAGAUUUGUAAACCCUUCUAUGGAAAGUUCAUGUCCGUUAAUAAUGAUAAAAUCAAGUGGUUAUUUAAAAGAAUUCAUUGUCCAGUUCUGGUCACCCAUGUACAAAAAAGAUUAAUUCAAAGUGGAAGAGGAGGGCUACUCAGAUGUUCAGGGAAAUGGAGAGCUGAAUUUAGGAGAGGCGAUUGAUUAUUUAGCCUAGAAAAACAAAGGCUGACAGGGGAUGGGCAGGGAUGGUGUCCCUGGCCUCUGCUUGCCAGAAGUUGGGAAUGGGCGACAGGGGAUGGAUCACUGGGUGAUUCCCUGUUCUGUUCAUUCCCUCUGGGGCACCUGGCAAUGGCCACUGUGGGAAGACAGGAUACUGGGCUAGAAGGACCUUUGGUCUGACCCAGUCUGGCGGUUCUUAUUGUCUUAUGAGGAUCUGACUGCUCUUUAUAAAUGUAUCAGUAAGAUAAACACCAGGGAGGGAGAAGAACUAUUUAAGCUACUGGACAAUGUUUGUAGAAGAACAAUGGGUUAUAAACUGGCCACGAAUAAAUUUAGACUGGAAAUUAGAAGAUGUCUAAUCAUUAGCGGAGUGACUGUGAGGUUAUAGAACAGGUGAUAGGAGGAGUGGGCGUGAACAACCAAACUAGUUUUAAAAUGGAGCUUGAUAAAUUUAUGAAAUGGCAUUACCUGAAAUGUUCUAUGAGCCAGGAUGGAGAUCCCUUCCAGUCCUAUGUCCUACGUUCCUAUGGAUAUUAAUUGUUUACCUGAAUAACUAAAUUUUGUCUUUAUUAAAAUAUUGGAAAAAUGAAUUGUGUGUGCAAAUAAAAUCAAUAUAUUAAAUAUCUCUAUAUAAUAUAAAUGUUAUGAAAUAUCUGUUUAUUUUUACUGUAUUUUUGGAUAUCAUGAAUAAAAAGAAGUUGUCUUAAUAUGACAGACCAGAAAAAAUGACUGUGUAAAAAAUCGGUAUUUAAAAAUAAGUGGCUAUAUGUUACAAGAAUGUGAAUUUUAUGAAAUUAUUAUUCCUUUUAAAAUUGUGUAUUUUAAUUAAAAGAUGUCUUCGUUUAUCAGUA